UUUUUUUUUUUUUUUUUGAGACAGACUCUUGCUCUGUUGCCCAGGCUUGAGUGCAGUGGCACAAUCUCAACUCGCUGCAACCUCCGUCUCCCGGGUUCAAGCAAUUCUUCUGCCUCAGCUUCCCUAGUAGCUGGGAUUACAGACACGAUAGACCAUGCCUAGCUAAGUUUUGUAUUUUUAGUAGAGACAGGGUUUCAUCAUGUUGGCCAGGCUGGUCUCAAACUCCUGACUUUGAGUGAUCUGCCCGCCUAGGCCUCCCAAAGUGCCAGGAUUACAGGCAUGAGCCACUGCACCUGGCCUCUUUUCUGACCUUUUAUAAGCUCGCUUCUUAGGCCUGUAGCAUAAAUCUCAGCCUUUCCUUAGGGCAGAGCCAGCUGAACAAAGAACCUUUUUCAGAGUAAGUGUCAGUCUGGAUACUGUUUACUUUAUUUCCCCUAAGAACUAGAUCCCUUCAAAUGAAGCAGACAGGUGGGGUGGUUGUCAUACAGAAUGAGAAGGGACAGCUCGUGUGUCUUCCCAGUGUCCUUGGAGUGAUUUUGUUCUUCCCAAAGCAGGAUAUGCAAGAUGCAGCCUGGAGAAAGACAAGAAUGCUAACUGCGUAAGUUUCAGUGGCUGUGAUUGAAAAUUAAAGAUGAUUGCCUCCAUUUCUCUAGGGAUCUGCCUGUUGGUUUUUGACACAUCAUCUGCAGAACUGUGGACUGGGGCGGUUCAGGGAAAGAAGCAAACUCCUUAGGGCCCUUAGGAAGAGAGUCCUGUUUGCAUGAGGUCUCCAGAGAGAAGGAGAUCGACAGGCGACCCAAGGAGCUCAGAAGAAACAAAGGGAUGAGCUGGGUUCCAAGGAAGCAGUGAAUUUGCCUAGAAAAUCAGAGAAAUCAGGCUCAGAACUCCUAGGUUAGGCUUGGCAGGAAUGGGAGCAUUUGUUUACUGCCCUGGGCAGUGCCAGUGUUUGCUCCAUGAAGCCAAUCUCAGGACCCCUGUCCCAAGAGGGGACAGCUCAGACAACCUAACUCUGGAUGUGUGAAUUGAGCUGCAUGAGAUCCCAGCAGGGCAACGGCUACAGGGGAAACCCCAGGACGAGGGCACAGAGAAUUCCAACAGAGACUUGGCCACAGCUGCCAGCUCUGACUAGGGCUGCCCAAGAGCUGCCCACCACCAGCAGCUGUGGUGAGAGGCCGUGAGCCUCCGUGGGAUGCAGGGUAAGUCCUGAGGAGCUAGGGGGCCCCAGGGACUGUCUCUUGUUGGUUUCCAUUCUCCUUGCCAUCACCCCCCACACUCAGCCUUACCCUCCCAGGCUGGGGCAGUUAAGGAAAUCCUUGAGGGUCACCCUGUGACCAUGAGUCUGCCCUGAAAAGCAAUGUCAAUACAGUGGAAUGCAGGCACCAGCCCAGGACUGGAUCUGAGCAGUUGCAGAAGAAGCAGGAACCUGGAGUGGUGUGCGGGUUUGAGAUACACAUCAACCACAGUAAUGAAGUGGCAAGUCAGAUCCGAGAACUCAAAAAAGUUCAGAGGCUGGGAACUCAACAUGGAAUCCCAACUCCCCAUUCAUUCAUUCACUCAUUCAUGAAUGUCCAGGUUGCACCCUGUGCUUGAGAAGGAGCAGUGGAGGCUGCGGGUCUCCGCUGUGAGGAUGAGGGGGACCCUGGGAUUGGGGGCUCAGCAGGCUUGCCCUGAGUGGUCCCCAUGGGUUCUAACCCCAAGCCAGGCUCUGUGCUUGAACCUGUGGAUACAAAGAGGGGUCAUGCAAGGGUCGCCAUUAUAAAGGGGAAAUUUAUUUCCACCGGAAACAUUUCCACCUCCUGAAGUGUCCUCUCUCCUUAAAAAGAGCCCCCAGUAGCCAGUGCUGCUUCACAGAUAACCACCACAGUCUUAGCCACUUGGCAGCCUCUCAAGGAAGGAGGUAAGGGCCCCUUUAUCAGCAGGGCCCAGCCAGGUGAGUGGCUAGUAGGGACAGAUGAAUUUGGUA
rnacentral:lncRNA from 1 species